rnacentral:rRNA from 1 species
GUCCGCACUGUAAACGAUGAUUACUCGCUGCUAGAGGGCAACUUUUAGUGGCUUAGCGAAAGCGAUAAGUAAUCCACCUGGGGAGUACGCCGGCAACGGUGAAACUCAAAGGAAUUGACGGGGGCCCGCACAAGCGGAGGAGCAUGUGGUUUAAUUCGAUGAUACGCGAGGAACCUUACCAGGGCUUGAAAGUUAGUGACCGUCUCUGAAAGGAGACUUCCCGCAAGGGCACAAACUAGGUGCUGCAUGGCUGUCGU